rnacentral:rRNA from 1 species
GAGGUAUUAAUAUAUAAGCGAAAGCUUGACUUAGUUAGGGUAAUAGUAGAGCCGGUAAAACUCGUGCCAGCCACCGCGGUUAUACGAGGGGCUCAAAUUGAUGAAUAGCGGCGUAAAGAGUGAUUAGAGAACGCCAGACUAAAGCUGAAAGCACGCCCAGUUGUCAUACGCUAUGAUGAAUGGAAAACCAAAAACGAAAGUAGCUUUAAGAAUCUUGAAUUCACGACCAUUGAGGAACAAACCGGGAUUAGAUACCCCGCUAUGCUCAAUAGUAAACAAUGGUGGCAGAAUACACAAGCCAUCCGCCAGGGGAUUACGAGCACCUAGCUUAAAACCCAAAGGACUUGACGGUGCCUUAGGUCCACUUAGAGGAGCCUGUCCUAUAACCGAUAUACCUCGUUGAACCUCACUACUCCUUGCCAAAUCAGCCUAUAUACCACCGUCGGCAGCUUACCUUGUGAGAGCCAUUGUAGUGAGCUAAAUGGAAUAAAGAUCCAGAACGUCAGGUCGAGGUGUAGCAAACGGGGUAGGAAGAGAUGGGCUACACUUUCUGGAUCAGAAAAGACGAAAGGUGGAAUGAAAAUAACACA